UCCGAUCACGCAGGCUUAGUUCU
rnacentral:siRNA from 1 species